rnacentral:rRNA from 1 species
GAUGAACGCUGGCGGCGUGCCUAAUGCAUGCAAGUCGAACGGAGAAUAUAGCUUCGGUUGUAUUUUUAGUGGCGAACGGGUGAGUAAUACGUAAGUAACCUGCCCUCGAGUGGGGGAUAACCCCGAGAAAUCGGGACUAAUACCGCGUAAUGUAUAGGGAUAAAACCCAAACACCAAAGCCUUCGGGCGCUUGAGGAGGGGCUUGCGGCUUAUCAGGUAGUUGGUGAGGUAACGGCCCACCAAGCCUAUGACGGGUAGCUGGUUUGAGAGGAUGAUCAGCCACAUUGGGACUGAGAUACGGCCCAGACUCCUACGGGAGGCUG